rnacentral:rRNA from 1 species
UACGAAGGGGGCUAGCGUUGCUCGGAAUGAUUGGGCGUAAAGCGCACGUAGGCGGCCGAUUAAGUCGGGUGUGAAAGCCCUGGGCUCAACCCAGGAAGUGCACUCGAAACUGGACGGCUUGAAUAUGGAAGAGGGUCGCGGAAUUCCCGGUGUAGAGGUGAAAUUCGUAGAUAUCGGGAGGAACACCAGUGGCGAAGGCGGCGACCUGGGCCAAUAUUGACGCUGAGGUGCGAAAGCGUGGGGAGCAAACAGG